GAGUUUGAUCGUGGCUCAGAUUGAACGCUGGCGGCAUGCCUUACACAUGCAAGUCGAACGGCAGCACGGGAGCUUGCUCCUGGUGGGCGAGUGGCGAACGGGUGAGUAAUGCAUCGGAACGUAUCCUGGAGUGGGGGAUAACGUAGCGAAAGUUACGCUAAUACCGCAUAUUCUGUGAGCAGGAAAGCGGGGGACCUUCGGGCCUCGCGCUCUUGGAGCGGCCGAUGUCGGAUUAGCUAGUUGGUGAGGUAAAGGCUCACCAAGGCGACGAUCCGUAGCAGGUCUGAGAGGAUGAUCUGCCACACUGGAACUGAGACACGGUCCAGACUCCUACGGAGGCAGCAGUGGGAUUUUGGACAAUGGGGCAACCCUGAGUCCAGCCAUGCCGCGUGAGUGAA
rnacentral:rRNA from 1 species